rnacentral:rRNA from 1 species
GCUUACGGCCACACCGGCCUGAGUACGCCUGAUCUCAGUCCGAUCUCGGAAGCUAAGCAGGGUCGGUGCCUGGUUUAGUACUGGAUGGGAGACCGCCUGGGAAUACCAGGUGCUGUAAGCU